AUGAUGGAAAGUGAAAUGGAAAAAGGAAGACCGUAUCAGGAGAAACCAAGAACGUUUUCCACUGUACGAAGUAAAUCAUCUAUACCGCUGGUCUUCCGUGUGUUGAUGAAGAUAAAUCCUCGUGCCCUGAUAGUUCUUCUUCUGCUGGUUGUCUGUGGUGUGUUCUACUUAGGAGCCAGUACAUCACCAAUUAUAGUCUUCGUGUUCUGUAUAUGCACUCUCAGUUUAUUCUUCUCUCUCUACCUCACAAAGUGGGUUCUUGCCAAGGAUGAAGGACCUCCAGAAAUGUCCGAGAUAUCUGAUGCCAUAAGGGAUGGCGCUGAAGGAUUUUUUAGGACACAAUAUGGGGCUAUUUCUAAAAUGGCUUGCAUCCUGGCACUUGUUAUCCUUUUCAUUUAUCUCUUUCGCACUAUCACCCCGCAGCAGGAGGCAUCAGGCCUAGGAAGGACAACAUCUGCAUAUAUUACAGUUAUUGCCUUUCUCCUUGGAGCUGUGUGUUCUGGACUAGCUGGAUAUGUUGGGAUGUGGGUCUCCGUACGUGCAAAUGUUAGAGUUUCAAGUGCUGCUCGACGGUCUGCAAGGGAAGCAUUGCAGAUUGCUGUCCGUGCAGGUGGUUUCUCGGCCAUCGUUGUUGUUGGCAUGGCUGUAUUUGGUGUGGCAUUACUCUAUGCAACAUUUUAUGUUUGGCUUGGAGUAGAUUCACCUGAUUCGAUGAAGGUUACAGACUUGCCUCUUCUCCUUGUGGGGUACGGUUUUGGUGCGUCGUUUGUUGCCCUCUUUGCUCAGUUGGGUGGUGGCAUAUACACCAAAGCAGCUGAUGUUGGAGCUGAUCUUGUUGGAAAGGUUGAGCAGGGAAUACCAGAAGAUGAUCCUCGUAAUCCUGCUGUCAUUGCUGACUUGGUUGGUGACAAUGUUGGAGAUUGUGCUGCCCGUGGUGCCGAUCUUUUUGAAAGCAUAGCAGCAGAAAUUAUCAGUGCAAUGAUACUUGGUGCAACAAUGGCACAGCGCUGCAAAAUUGAAGAUCCCUCUGGCUUUAUUCUGUUUCCUCUUGUUGUCCAUUCUUUUGACCUAGUGGUGUCAUCAGUUGGAAUUCUCUCAAUUAGGGGAACACGUGACUCUGGAUUAAUAUCCCCUAUUGAAGAUCCCAUGGCAAUUAUGCAGAAAGGCUAUUCUAUUACUAUACUGCUUGCUGUUCUUACCUUUGGAGGGUCUACUCGUUGGCUCCUGUACACUGAACAAGCACCUACUGCAUGGUUCAAUUUUGCCUUGUGUGGCUUGGUGGGCAUCAUCACAGCAUAUGCUUUUGUUUGGAUUUCCAAGUAUUAUACAGAUUAUAAGCAUGAGCCUGUCCGCCUUUUAGCUCUUUCAAGUUCCACAGGACAUGGAACUAAUAUUAUUGCUGGAGUAAGUUUGGGAAUGGAAGCAACAGCCUUACCAGUUCUAGUGAUAUCUAUAGCCAUUAUAUCAGCAUUUUGGUUGGGACGUACCUGUGGCUUGGUAGACGAGCUUGGCAAUCCAACUGGUGGUCUUUUUGGGACAGCUGUAGCUACAAUGGGAAUGCUUAGUACUGCAGCAUAUGUUCUCACCAUGGACAUGUUUGGUCCUAUAGCUGACAAUGCUGGUGGUAUUGUGGAGAUGAGCCAGCAGCCUGAAAGUGUUAGAGAAAUCACAGACAUUCUAGAUGCUGUGGGUAACACUACGAAAGCUACCACAAAGGGAUUUGCUAUAGGGUCAGCAGCACUGGCUUCCUUUCUCCUGUUCAGCGCAUAUAUGGAUGAAGUAGCUGCUUUUGCACAGUUGCCAUUCAAAGAGGUUGACAUAGCAAUUCCAGAGGUUUUUGUUGGUGGUUUACUAGGUUCGAUGCUUAUAUUCCUGUUUAGUGGAUGGGCUUGUUCAGCUGUUGGCAGAACUGCACAAGAAGUUGUUACUGAGGUCAGGAGACAAUUCAUUGAGAGGCCUGGAAUUAUGGAUUACAAAGAGAAGCCUGAUUAUGGUCGUUGUGUUGCAAUUGUGGCCUCUGCAUCCUUGAGGGAAAUGAUAAAGCCAGGGGCUUUAGCAAUUUUGUCUCCCAUGGCCGUUGGCAUCAUCUUUCGGAUUUUGGGCCAUGCUACGGGGCAGCCUCUCCUUGGAGCUAAAGUUGUCGCCUCUAUGCUCAUGUUUGCGACCGUUACUGGUAUCCUCAUGGCACUCUUCCUGAACACUUCCGGCGGUGCCUGGGAUAAUGCUAAGAAGUACAUCGAGACUGGUGCACUUGGUGGUAAAGGCAGUGAGGCUCACAAGGCUGCAAUUACUGGCGAUACGGUUGGAGAUCCAUUCAAAGACACGGCGGGGCCUUCGAUCCAUGUUCUCAUCAAGAUGCUCGCCACGAUCACACUGGUCAUGGCCCCUAUCUUCUUGUAA
rnacentral:rRNA from 1 species